UUGCCCACUGUUGGAGACAGGAGCUAGAUGGACCUUUGGCCUGGCCCAGUGUGGCUGCUCUUCUGUUCUUGUGCUCUUGUGUUGUGAAAGAGUUGGAGUCCUUGUGGUAGGAAGAAGGGGAAUCUGCUUCCAGAAUAAAUGGGAGGACAAAGAGGAUCAGAGCAACGUUUAUACACAUACACAGUCAUUUCUUGCUCCGUGUAUGCAUACAUACACGCGUGAACUAUGUAUAUCAACAGUACAUUUUUUCUAAGGGGGAAGCCUGACCAUGUGAUCCAAAUGCACUGCAAGGCUCAGAAACCAGACGCCAAACAAUGAGAAGCCAAACUGUGCAGCCAUUUUUAAAUCUCAGAAGCUUAUAAGGCAAUCUAAGCAUGCUCUGGGUCUUCAUCCAUGUUUUCUGAGUGUGGAGGGGCUUGGCAGUAAAUAAAGCUUCACAUUACAAAGAGGCUAAAGUAAAUAAAGUCUUCAGGGAUGUUAA